UCCUGCAAUUUUUUUUCUUCUCCUCUGCUCCAAGGAUAUAUGGCACACAGCCGGCAGACAGCGAGAGGAUGCUCUGGCUGUAAUUGGUAAGGCAGCGCUCUGACGUACGGAUGGGACUCACCUGGGAACCCAUCCUGAGCCGGAGACAAAGCAGCAGGUGCCUUACACUUAGUUUCCUGUAAAAAAAAAAGUACCUCUGGGAGCAGAGUGGGUUGGUGCUAUGAGGGGACUAGAGAGACAAGGAGAGAAAGGCACUCUACAGAUGCUUGCAGGUGAGCUCUUCACGGGGCUGAGGAAGUCAGAUGGGGAGGGGGUUCUGCUCUAAUAGGCCUCCCAUGAGGUUCAACUGACACCUGCAUCUUCUCGCUCUCCCCGCUCACCACUGUAUCCCAGAAACAAAAACCACUGGGAYGUAAUAUUCUCUACUUUCUUCUACUUAUCUGCUCACCCCCAUCCUUUUUUUUUUGCCCUUCUCCUCCUGCUUUAGAGCUGCCACAGCUCCUCGUGGGAUGCUUCGAACUUGCUGACAAAUAGCUUACCUCAUCCCACCUCAGCCAGCCCUGGCCUCCUGCCUGCUGCACGCAGCAGCAGAAAACAGAAAGAUUUAAACAGCGAGGGGUCCCACCCMUCUGCCAAAAAUACAAUCUGUAAAUCACCAUGUUUCAGUGACAGGAAAAAUGUUGCUAUUUCUGUAGCUUGAAGCAACGGGGUACUGUAUUCCAUUACUGCCCAGUCAGCAAGUUUGGACUCUGUAAGCAGCAGAGCCCAUGAGCCGUCAGGCAGAUCUGCGCAGAAACAGGUGUUGGACAUGCUACACCGGCUCAGAUAAGUGUUUCUAAGACACACUGGCAGGCGUCACACGAAGCGAACGGA